CCCUUAGAUGUUCUGGGCUGCACCCGUGCUACACUGGCAGGUUCAGCGAGCUUCAUGCCCUGAUCUGAAAGGAAUGGGAAAUCUUUUCAAAACCUGCCGUGCUUGGGAUAGAUGUUUGCAAUUAUUCAUCUUCAACGAGGAUUGCCUUGUAAGCGCACGUCAUCAGCGUGCAUUGAAUACGACCCUGUAUUCUGUACACACCGCCCGUCGCUCCUACCGAUUGAAGUUUUCGGUGAGUUGACAGGGGGAUUUUUUUGAAACUGGUUCGCCAGUGGAUUUUAGAUCCAAAUGCCAACGAAUCGAUGGCUUUAGAGGAAGGAGAAGUCGUAACA
rnacentral:rRNA from 1 species